rnacentral:rRNA from 1 species
GACGGAGGAUGCAAGUGUUAUCCGGAAUCACUGGGCGUAAAGCGUCUGUAGGUGGUCAAAUAAGUCAACUGUUAAAUCUUGAGGCUCAACCUCAAAAUCGCAGUCGAAACUAUUCGACUAGAGUAUAGUAGGGGUAAAGGGAAUUUCCAGCGGAGCGGUGAAAUGCGUAGAGAUUGGAAAGAACACCGAUGGCGAAGGCACUUUACUGGGCUAUUACUAACACUGAGAGACGAAAGCUAGGGUAGCAAAUGGG